UGUUUUGACUCACCAUCAGGUAGUUUACAGAAUUAUUUCUGGGAGUGAACUUAGAGAGCAUUUAUUCAAGUCCUUUUAUUUUAUAGAUGAGGAAAUUGAGGCUAGGAGAAUGCAUCUGACUUGCUCAAUGUCAAUGGCUGAGCUGGAAUUUGAGAGUAAAUUCUUUAUCUACAAAUCUGAACUUGUUUCCAUCAUGUAUACUUCCUCUCAUCUCCCUCUUCAGAAUCACCUACUCUCAGCAUGAAUUCCUCACAGUGACAAGGUUUUGGAUGCCCCAUCUAGUGUGUGACCUGUGCCUAGUGAGAAAAAAUACAAUUUCUAAAAGUGCCUUCCCAGAAUUCCACUGGCCCAAACUUUUGCAAGCUGCUGCACUGAAUUUCAAGAAGUCAUUAUGAAAGGCCAACUGUGGACGACUGUAAGUUGCUACAGUUUCUCUCCAAUUCAAUAAGUCUAAGGAUAAAUAUAACCUGGGUUCACUAGCAUGAGUUAUAUUUUCCUAUGUCAAUUAGG